rnacentral:rRNA from 1 species
UACGUAGGUGGCAAGCGUUGUCCGGAUUUACUGGGCGUAAAGGGCUCGUAGGCGGCCAACUAAGUCAGACGUGAAAUCCCUCGGCUUAACCGGGGAACUGCGUCUGAUACUGGUUGGCUUGAAUCCGGGAGAGGGAUGCGGAAUUCCAGGUGUAGCGGUGAAAUGCGUAGAUAUCUGGAGGAACACCGGUGGCGAAGGCGGCAUCCUGGACCGGCAUUGACGCUGAGGAGCGAAAGCCAGGGGAGCAAACGGG